rnacentral:lncRNA from 1 species
AGAAAAUCAUUUUAUGUAUAUGUUAAGGGUAAAGUCUGAACUUGGAUAAUGUUUAAUAAGAACUGGCUGUUUAUUAUUUUCAAUCUAUAUCCAGAUAAUAUUUAUAUUAUCCACUUGCUCUUGGAUAAUGUCACACUUGAAGUUUGAAGAAAUAAUUGCAGAAGUGCAGUUUUUAUUUAUUGGCCUCAUGGCUCUGUAUGUCUGUAGACCAUGGUGUAGACGAUUGAGAUUAGAUGAGAAGAGAUACAGUAGAUUUGAGAGAUUAGGCUGGGAGGUAAUACAUAUGGGCCAAUCAAAAAGUUACCAAGAAUUCCUCCCAAAUAUUAAUACAGACUUGAUGCUGAGAGCCAAGAGGUAGUUGUGCUUGAGGAUUUUCCUUAGCUUAUACAUGGCUGUUAUGACUAAUCAAGCAUUGCUCCUAUGUAAAAUGCCUCGUCCGUGAACAAAACUGUUCCCAGAAAAUCUGUAUAUUCGGCAGUCUUUGAGCAUAGCGGAGAUGAAGCACAAUUCAGCUGACACGGAUUGGUUCAAAUCAAACUUCUAAGGCACGAAGCUCCAGAUCGAUGCCUUUAGAGAGGAC